UACGGAGGAUGCGAGCGUUAUCCGGAUUUAUUGGGUUUAAAGGGUGCGUAGGUGGUUUUUUAAGUCAGUGGUGAAAGUUUGUCGCUCAACGAUAAAAUUGCCAUUGAAACUGGGGAACUUGAGUAUGUUUGAGGUAGGCGGAAUGCGUAGUGUAGCGGUGAAAUGCAUAGAUAUUACGCAGAACUCCAAUUGCGAAGGCAGCUUACUAAACCAUAACUGACACUGAAGCACGAAAGCGUGGGUAUCAAACAGG
rnacentral:rRNA from 1 species